rnacentral:rRNA from 1 species
AACGAACGCUGGCGGCAGGCCUCAAACAUGCAAGUCUAGGGGGUGUAGCAAUACAUCACCGGCGGACGGGUGCGUAACGCGUGGGAAUAUACCUAUCGAUUCGGAACAACUGAGGGAAACUUCAGCUAAUACCGAAUACGUCCUAACGGAGAAAGAUUUAUCGUCGAUAGAUUAGCCCGCGUUCGAUUAGCUAGUUGGUGGGUAACGGCCCACCAAGGCGACGAUCGAUAGCUGUUCUGAGAGGAAGAUCAGCCACACUGGGACUGAGACACGGCCCAGACUCCUACGGGAGGCAGCAGUUGGGAAUCUUGGACAAUGGGGGC